rnacentral:lncRNA from 1 species
CAAUAUCCUGAAAACAGAUCUGGAAAUUAUGACAGAGGAGGUAGAGCCUUCAAGGGCAGAGGAAGCAACAAAUGAAAUGGAGAUAAUAGACCUAUAUGUCAGGUUUGUGGUAAAUUGGACAUACUGCUGCUGUUUGUUAUUACAGGUUUGAUAAAAGCUAUAUGGGAACACUUUCGGACUCCAGCAAUAAAAAUCAGCAUCAACACUCAGUUUAUCUGUCUACAACUGAUAAUAUUUCAUAUUAGACCUGGUUUAUAGAUAGUGGAGGAAGUUGUCACGUAACAA